rnacentral:rRNA from 1 species
UACGUAGGUGGCAAGCGUUAUCCGGAAUUAUUGGGCGUAAAGCGUCCGUAGGUGGUUUAGUAAGUCUGCUGUUAAAGCGCGGGGCUUAACUCCGUAUCGGCAGUGGAAACUACUAGACUAGAGUGUGGUAGGGGUAGAGGGAAUUCCCAGUGUAGCGGUGAAAUGCGUAGAUAUUGGGAAGAACACCGGUGGCGAAGGCGCUCUACUGGGCCAUAACUGACACUGAUGGACGAAAGCUAGGGGAGCGAAAGGG